AGGGGUGUAGCUCAGUUGGUAGAGCAUCGGUCUCCAAAACCGAGGGUCGGGGGUUCGAGUCCCUCCGCCCCUGCCA
rnacentral:tRNA from 21 species